rnacentral:misc_RNA from 1 species
GAAAUGCGAUAAGUAGUGUGAAUUGCAGAAUUCAGUGAAUCAUCGAAUCUUUGAACGCACAUUGCGCCUUCCGGUAUUCCGGAAGGCAUGCCUGUUCGAGCGUCAUAUCAACCUCUCAAGCUUGGAUUUAUUCUCGCUUGGUAUUGGUCAAGGAUUGAGCUUCGCUCAUUCCUGGUCGAAAUGCAAUGGCGAAGUCUUCCGUUCCGAUCAGUGUAGUAAUCAACGUUAUGUUUCACUGUUGGAUGUGAUGUGGCUUCCGCCGCAAACUCCCCCAUUCUAAGUGUUUGACCUCGGAUCAGGCAGGAAUACCCGCUGAACUUAA